GUUUUGAGGGAAAGGCAAUGUAUUUUACCGGGAAAAGAAAAAACGGAUAGGAAGAUAUAUCCAUAACAACUGAACUUGAAUGAAAAAUAUCUAUCUGCUUUUGGUUAGUGUUUACUCUUCAAUACCAUAAAUCAUAAACCAUGUUUGUUAUGAAUAAUAUCAAGACAUGGAAAACAUUACCGUUAACGGCUCCAUGCUUCAGUUGCCAUAGCCUUGCAUCGUCCUCAACGGUGGUGAGUAUGACGCAAAAACCUCCUUCCUCCAAAUUCCGCAGGAAAUCGUCCUAUGGAACUUCUAGAAGAUCUAUUCUAAAAAAAUCCUUCAAUCAAGAACAAGUCAACUUCACCGCUCCUUUCUCCGAUGAACCACUCGUUGCCAUAAUCGGCGGUGGCAUCUCCGGUCUCAUUUGCGCUUUCUUCUUAGACAAACGUGGUGUUCGCUCCACUGUUUUCGACACUGGUAUUCAUGGUUUAGGAGGAAGAAUGGGAACUAGGGUUAUUGAUGAACCUAAUAAUAAUCCUUUCAUAUUUGAUCAUGCCGCUCAAUUUUUUACAGUAAACGAUUCUCGUUUUGCUGAGUUGGUUAAUGCUUGGAUUGACAAGGGUUUGGUCCGAGAGUGGCAGGGUACUAUAGGAGAGCUUCGAAAUGGUGGUGAAUUUCUUCCAUUUUUACCCUCUCCUCCAAAAUAUAUAGCCACUCAUGGAAUGCGCUUUCUUGCUGAUUCGUUACUCUCUGAGACUAACUUGGUGAAUGUGGUGAGACCAUGCUGGAUCAGUAAAUUGGAGCCAUUCAAUGGGAUGUGGCACUUGAGUGAAAAUGGGAAGCCUUGUGGGAAGUUUGAUGCAAUUGUUGUUGCACACAAUGGAAAAUGUGCAAACCGCUUGCUAAUGACAUCGGGUUUGCCAUUAAUCGCAAAACAAAUGAAGAGGUUGGAGUUGAGUUCAAUAUGGGCUCUUCUAGCAGCAUUUGAGGACCCUCUUCCUUUUUCAGGGAACACAGAAGUUUCUUUUGAAGGAGCUUUUGUGAGAGGAAUUGAUUCAGUGUCAUGGAUGGCCAAUAAUACCAAGAAACUUUUGCCUUCUCGGAGUGAUGGUCCUCAUUGUUGGACCUUUUUUAGCACUGCGGCUUAUGGAAAACAGAACAAGGUUCCUCAGGAAAACAUCCCUACUGCUACAGCAACAAGGGUAAAGGAAGGCAUGCUAGAGGGUGUUGAGGCUGCCCUCGGAUUAUCAAAAGGGUCUCUUCCUAAACCUUUUUAUACCAAGCUUCAACUUUGGGGUGCAGCUCUUCCGACUAAUACACCUGGAGUUCCUUGCAUCUUUGAUCCCUUUGGAAGGGCUGGGAUAUGUGGUGAUUGGCUGCUAGGUUCUAAUAUAGAGGCAGCAGUCUUAAGUGGGAUUGCUCUAGCUAACCAAAUUGCAGACUGUAUCCAAAGUCCCGGAACUGAUCCUGGAGAGUUUGCUGUUGGUUUGAAUCAUGAGUUUCAACCACUGGAAGGUCAUGAUAUUGGACAAUUCCCAGGUUUGGGGUCAGAAGAAAAAAUUAAUGCAGCCCAAGUAUAUGAACUUGUCAAGUAGGCUAUGGUGCUCAUAAAGCGGCUCUCUCCUCUGGUAACCAAAGAUUCCUUUCAUUUCCAUGCAAAGGAAAUUCCCCUGAAAGUAUCGUCACUGGGUUUCAAGGGAAGAUUUGACUUGAAACUCAAACUCUCCGUUGGCAAGACAGGGGCCUUAUAUCCCCCCUCAACAACCACAUGUAAUGACAAAAGUUCCAAUAGCAAAACAACAAUCUAGAGCAUUUCUCUUCAUCGCCCUUUUGGACUAACAAGUUGUGAGAAUAUGUCAGUUGGAUUUUCACUGUAAUUGGAAUCUUG